ensembl:lncRNA
UUUUAUCAACAAACGUAAGGUUCCUUAGCUUCAUGGUCAAGCUCAACUUGAUAGAGGAAAAAAAAAAGUCAGAUAUGUCUAGAGGAACUCCAGGAACUGCCACAGAAAACAUGAAUAUAAACACCUGGGCAAUAAACACCUGGAAAAUACAUACCAGCAUCUCUGAUCUCCACUGCAAGGCACUGAUCCUCCCAACAGAGAGAAGCUGAGCUUCUUCUGGAUAAGGUACAUGCUGAAUGUCUUCAAGGACCUGGGUGAUGCUCAGCAAGUCAGUGAUGACACUGUAGUGAACUGGACCCUGAAAGAAUCUAGCAAGUCCACCUGCAUCCCAGAACUUCAAGGUGAAGAUUCCCCUUUUGUGUCCAAAAGGAGUGGCAGUUCCUAAUCACAGAAUCUUUCAGUCAGGUAGUGCUUCUAGAAAUCAAAUUGUUGUCCUUGUCAGUAAUGCUGGAGUAGUGGUUGGCUGGACUACCUUCCCUAAUUGAGAGCAAUGCAAAUCAACUCAAGCACUUCUUCGCAAUGAUCUCUCCUGUUUGCUCAGGCUUAUGAAAUGCUCACCCACUGAUCAGGGUUUGGAGAUUGAGCCCUUGUCUUUUUCUCAUCUUGUUGAAUCAUCAUAAGUUGUCAGGUUUUAAGUAUUUCUGUUAAACCGUGGCUUUGAAAUGUGUAUUCUGUGACUAUUAUGUAGUAGCAGAAUGACAGGCAGUUUUCAGGUCAAUAAUAGUCUUAGUUGGUUAUUUCUAAAAAUGCAAACAGAAGGAAGAAUGUAAAUGUUAGCUGAUAAGUCCUCGAUUAUGCAUGCUAGCUAUUAGCCCUUACAAAUAUUAAUUACAACUUUUAACAGUUGGUAAAGUGGUCUUGACAUUUCAAAGGUGAAUUUACACAUUAAAGACACUUGUCUCUGCUGUGGAAAGAUCAAAAUGCAUGCAUAAAACUGGUGUGACAGGACUGCUACACAUCUUGAAGACUGAAUCUUAGUAAAGAGGGUAUUAGGUGAAAUUAUGGUGGGCAGGGGCAGAGCUAAUGUGCCAGUUUUGGGUACCAGUCCAAAAGCCAACAAAGUCCUCUUUCCAUGGCAAAUGGGGAUGCUGUAUCCAUGGCAAGAAGAACUGCUUCCCGAGUGUGUGCUCUUCCAGAGGUGAAACCAAAGAUAGUGAUGACUGUGCACACCUGCUUAAUGGACAGAGGGAUGAAGCAAGUAUAAAGGGGCUGAUCCACGUAAAAAAAUUAAGCAAACAAAAUGCAACAAAAGUUCACCUUCCCACCACAGGUCCAUGAGUAGCAGACCAGCUGUGUCCAUGCUGAAAUGCUUUUGGCCUAGGAACUGCUGAAGCCCAAAGAUGCUAUGCUUUGCAAGACAAACUGGUAUCAGGAGAGAGGAGUUUUAACCAACAAACAUGCUCUUUUCCCACAGGAAAAUUUCUCGAGAGCUCACAGAAAUGCAUUAGUAACAGACCAGGGUUUGCAGUGCUGCUCUGGAGCUGUUUUCAC